UUUGCUCGCUUGCGCCAUUUCUCUGCGUGUACAAAAUUCUCCUACCACUCUCCCUCUCUGCCUUUCCUUAGAGGAAUUUUUUCUUUUUUGAAAAGCUGCUUUGAAGAAUAUGAUCGUUGGAGGGUUUAGGUGUAACAGUACCUUGCGUGGUUGUUGUACUGAACCAAAUGGGUUAUUCACCAACCAACUUGUCUGCUGAGGAACUCG
rnacentral:misc_RNA from 1 species